AAAUUGAAGAGUUUGAUCAUGGCUCAGAUUGAACGCUGGCGGCAGGCCUAACACAUGCAAGUCGAACGGUAACAGGAAGCAGCUUGCUGUUUCGCUGACGAGUGGCGGACGGGUGAGUAAUGUCUGGGAAACUGCCUGAUGGAGGGGGAUAACUACUGGAAACGGUAGCUAAUACCGCAUAAUGUCGCAAGACCAAAGAGGGGGACCUUCGGGCCUCUUGCCAUCGGAUGUGCCCAGAUGGGAUUAGCUUGUUGGUGGGGUAACGGCUCACCAAGGCGACGAUCCCUAGCUGGUCUGAGAGGAUGACCAG
rnacentral:rRNA from 1 species